rnacentral:rRNA from 1 species
GUGAGGAAUAUUGGUCAAUGGGCGAGAGCCUGAACCAGCCAAGUCGCGUGAAGGAAGAAGGAUCUAUGGUUCGUAAACUUCUUUUGCAGGGGAAUAAAGUGCAGGACGUGUUCUGUUUUGUAUGUACCCUGAGAAUAAGGAUCGGCUAACUCCGUGCCAGCAGCCGCGGUAAUACGGAGGAUCCGAGCGUUAUCCGGAUUUAUUGGGUUUAAAGGGUGCGUAGGUGGUCUGAUAAGUGAGCGGUGAAAGUUUGCAGCUUAACUGUAAAGAUGCAGUUGAAGCUGUAGGACUGGAGUGGAAAGGUGGUAGGCGGAAUGCGUGGUGUAGCGGUGAAAUGCAUAGAUAUCACGCAGAACACCGAUUGCGAAGGCAGCUUACCAGGCCAUAACAGACACUGAAGCACGAAAGCGUGGGGAUCGAACAGGAUUAGAAACCCUAGUAGUCC